CCUACGGGUGGCAGCAGUGAGGAAUAUUGGGCAAUGCCCGAAAGGGUGACCCAGCAACGCCGCGUGGAGGAUGAAGUCCUUCUGGACGUAAACUCCUUUUAGAGGGGACGAAAAGCCCGAUUUGUCGGGAAUUGACGGUACCCUCAGAAAAAGCACCGGCUAACUACGUGCCAGCAGCCGCGGUAAUACGUAGGGUGCAAGCGUUGUCCGGAUUCACUGGGUGUAAAGGGUGCGCAGGCGGGCUCUUAAGUCAAAGGUGAAAUCUCUCGGCUUAACCGAGAAAUUGCCUUUGAUACUGAGAGCCUGGAGUACGGGAGAGGGAGAUGGAAUUCCAGGUGUAGCGGUGAAAUGCGUAGAUAUCUGGAGGAACACCGAAGGCGAAGGCGGCUCUCUAUGCUACUCCUGACGCUGAGGCACGAAAGCUAGGGGAGCAAACGGGAUUAGAUACCCCGGUAGU
rnacentral:rRNA from 1 species